rnacentral:rRNA from 1 species
AUCGAACGCUGGCGGCAGGCUUAACACAUGCAAGUCGAACGAGUGGCGGACGGGUGAGUAAUGCCUGGGAAACUGCCUGAUGGAGGGGGAUAACUACUGGAAAAGGUAGCUAAUACCGCAUACUAUCAGAUGUGCCCAGAUGGGAUUAGCUUGAUGGUGGGGUAACGGCUCACCAGGGCGACGAUCCCUAGCUGGUAUGAGAGGAUGACCGGCCACACUGGAACUGUGACACGGUCCAGACUCCUACGGGAGGCAGAAGUGGGAAAUAUUGCGCAAUAGGCGCAAGCCGGAUGCAGCAAUGCCGCGUGUAUGAGUAAGGCCUUCGGUUUGUAAAGUCCUUUCAGCGGGGAGACGUUACCCGCAGAGAAAGCAACGGCUAACUCCGUGCCAGCAGCCGCGGUAAUUC